rnacentral:rRNA from 1 species
GUGGGGAAUAUUGGACAAUGGGCGAAAGCCUGAUCCAGCAAUGCCGCGUGAGUGAAGAAGGCCUUCGGGUUGUAAAGCUCUUUUACCCGGGAAGAUAAUGACCGUACCGGGAGAAUAAGCCCCGGCUAACUCCGUGCCAGCAGCCGCGGUAAUACGGAGGGGGCUAGCGUUGUUCGGAAUUACUGGGCGUAAAGCGCACGUAGGCGGUCUUUUAAGUCAGAGGUGAAAGCCCGGGGCUCAACUCCGGAAUUGCCUUUGAAACUGGAAGACUUGAACACGGGAGAGGUGAGUGGAAUUCCGAGUGUAGAGGUGAAAUUCGUAGAUAUUCGGAGGAACACCAGUGGCGAAGGCGGCUCACUGGACCGUUGUUGACGCUGAGGUGCGAAAGCGUGGGGAGCAAACAGGAUUAGAAACCCGAGUAGUCC